rnacentral:rRNA from 1 species
UACGUAGGUGGCAAGCGUUGUCCGGAUUUACUGGGCGUAAAGCGCGCGCAGGUGGCGCGCCAAGUCCCGGGUGAAAUCUCCCGGCUCAACCGGGAGGAGUCUCUGGAUACUGGCGUGCUAGAGGGGAGCAGAGGAGAGCGGAAUUCCCGGUGUAGCGGUGAUAUGCGUAGAUAUCGGGAGGAACACCAGUGGCGAAGGCGGCUCUCUGGGGCUCUACCUGACGCUGAGGCGCGAAAGCUGGGGA